rnacentral:misc_RNA from 1 species
CCAGAGGCAGGAACGGCUGCUCGCAGCCCGACCUCUCACCCCCAUGUGUACCUCGAACCCGUUGCUUUGGCGGGCUGGCGCGGCCACCCCACCGCGCGCGCCCGCCGGAGAGAGCCUGCUUCGGCGGGCUGUCCACAACAUUGUUGCAUGAGAGCGUCUGAGUCCCGAGGGAACACGCAAA